rnacentral:rRNA from 1 species
CCCUUAGAUGUUCUGGGCCGCACGCGCGCUACACUGACGAUGGCAACGAGUUUUUCCUUCGCCGAAAGGUGUGGGUAAUCUUUUGAAACAUCGUCGUGCUGGGGAUAGAUCAUUGCAAUUUUUGAUCUUGAACGAGGAAUUCCUAGUAAGCGCGAGUCAUCAGCUCGCGUUGAUUACGUCCCUGCCCUUUGUACACACCGCCCGUCGCUACUACCGAUUGAAUGGUUUAGUGAGGACUCCUGAUUGGCGCCGCCGCCCCGGCAACGGAGCAGCGGACUGCCGAAAAGUUGUUCAAACUUGAUCACUUAGAGGAAGUAAAAGUCGUAACA